GCCAGGCAUGAUUGCUUACGCAGAUUUGGGAGGCUGAGGCAAAAGGAUCGCUUGAGCCCAAGAGUUGUGGGCUGUAGUGUGCUAUGCUGAGAGGGUAUCCACACUAACUUUGGAAUUAAUAUGGUGACCUCCCAGGAGCAGGGGACCACCACCUUGCUUAAGGAGGGGUGAACCGGCCCAGGUCGGAAAUGGAGCAGGUCAAAACUCCCAGGCUGAUUAGUAGUGGAAUUGUGCCUGUGAAUAGCCACUGCACUCCAGCCUGGGCAAUACAGCAAGACCCUGUCUCUC
ensembl:misc_RNA Metazoa_SRP Metazoan signal recognition particle RNA